CGUCUUUAUUGACAGGAUAUGUUCCCCAGUCUUUCAAGACUGCAUUGAUUAAGCCUCUCCUUAAAAAACCUACUCUGGACUCAAGCUCCCUAGCUAACUAUAGACCAAUAUCCAACCUUCCUUUUAUUUCUAAAGUCCUGGAGAAAGUUGUUGCGAAUCAACUCUGUGAUUUUCUCCAUAACAACGGUUUAUUGGAGGAUUUCCAGUCUGGAUUUAGAGCCCAUCACAGCACAGAGACUGCUCUGCUAAAGGUGUCAAAUGACCUACUCAUGGCCUCGGACAAUGGUCUUCUCUCUGUUCUAGUCCUGUUAGAUCUUAGUGCUGCAUUUGACACAAUCGACCAGUCCAUCCUGCUUCAGAGACGGGAACAAUCUAUAGGCAUAGCAGGAUCAGCUCUCUCCUGGUUUAAAUCGUACCUAACAGAUCGAUCCCAGUUUGUCCAUGUUAAUAAUGAAUCCUCUGCACACACCAAGGUCUGCUACGGAGUGCCGCAAGGGUCAGUGCUCGGACCGAUCCUCUUCACCCUGUACAUGAUUCCGCUGGGUAAAAUUAUGAGGAAGUACUCGAUUAAUUUCCACUGUUAUGCAGAUGACACCCAGCUAUACCUAUCCAUGAAGCCGGAGGAAGCAGGCCAGGUUGCCAGGUUAGAAGCCUGCCUCAAAGAUAUAAAAUCCUGGAUGACCAAUAACUUUCUAAUGCUCAACUCAGACAAAACUGAAGUUCUGGUCCUCGGUCCUAAACACCUUAGAGAGGCAUUCUCUAGUAAUUUAGCUACAUUUGAUGGCAUCAGCCUGGCAUCCAGCCCCACUGUGCGAAAUCUGGGAGUUUUAUUUGUUCAGGAUUUAUCUUUUAGCUCCCACAUUCAACAAAUUUCCAGGACAGCCUUUUUCCACCUGCGCAAUAUCUCAAAAAUUAGACACAUAUUGUCUCAGAGCGAUGCAGAAAAACUAGUCCAUGCCUUUGUUACCUCUAGGCUGGAUUACUGUAAUUCUCUCCUAUCAGGCUGCUCUAGUAAGUCAUUAAGGACUCUUCAGCUGGUCCAAAAUGCAGCAGCUCGGGUACUGACUAGAACUAGAAGAAGGGAGCACAUCUCUCCUGUUUUAGCCUCUCUUCACUGGCUCCCUAUUAAAUAUAGAAUUGAGUUUAAAAUCCUCCUUGUGACAUAUAAAGCGCUUAACGGCCAGGCUCCAUCAUAUCUCGACGAGCUAGUUAUACCGUACUUUCCAUCUAGACCGUUAGCUCACAGUCUGCAGGCCUGCUCGUUGUACCAAAUGUCUCUAAAAGUAGUAUUGGAGGAAGAGCUUUCAGCUACCAGGCACCUCUCCUCUGGAAUCAUUUACCGCUCAAGGUUCGGGGGGCAGACACACUCUCAACUUUCAAGAGUAGACUUAAAACGUUCCUCUUUGAUAAAGCCUAUAGUCAGGGCUGAUUUGAACCAGCUCUUAGUUAUGCUGCUAUAGGUCUAGACUGCCGGGGCUAUCUGGCACACUGAGCUAGAGUCUGUCUCUAUCUCCUCUUUAGAUCUUUAUGUCCCAUAUAGGUCACUGACCAGUUUUCUGUCUCUCUGAGUGUCUCUGAGUCUUUUAGCUGCCACUGGACUAAUGCUGCAAACGGUCUGCUGCGGAACUGCCUGACCCCAGCUGCAUCCACCCUGGGCCCUGAGCUCCUCCAUCUCUUUGGCUCCUCUGGACCGUUGCUGCAGACACCCCAAAACCCAUCUUAGGUUGGUUCUUGAUCAUCAAACAAUGAGCGUGGUCCAGACCUGCUCUUGUUCCUUGCUCCCUGCGUCUUGAGAUGACGACUGUUGUGAAUUGGCGCUAUAUAAAUAAAAUUUGAUUGAUUUGAUUGAUUGAUUUUGAUUGAUUGAUCAUAUGACAAGGCGACAAGACUUUUAUCUGUGCAAAAAAUGACUCAGUGGGCUUUACCAAGCUGUGAACAUUAGAAUGCUUUUCAGCAGUUUCGUUUGGCACCUAAACAUUAUUUCAAACGCUGUUGGGAUUGAAAUUAGACAUUUCUUGUGAAAAAAAAUUAUUGCACAUGUAUUUGAGGGGCACUUAAGGUCAACUUGUACUGAAGUGACAAGACUUUUGUCAGGGACUGUAGGGUACCUUUAAGGUUAAGGUGUCAAAUUUGAGAGUCUCCAGCCAAGAGCAGAGGGGUGAAUGUUUAUCCAGUCCGGGGGUCCUGCUGGAGAUUAGCAACUUUGUCUCUUUGAAAUGGAAAAGAUUGACUGUCUGUCUUUUGGGGGAUCACCUCUUGGUUAGUUUCCCACAGACAGGCAGACAGGAGGUUGUAAAAGACCGUGGUUUGGUGUGUAAAUUCACCCCCCAUCUUCUUUUAGAGACCAGAGUCACUGCAUUCCUUUGAGGGUGAAUUAAAGAUGAGAGAGCAGAAACCAGUCAUCUGCUACAUAUCCCCCCUCCGUCUCGAUGGCAGCUUCGGGAGCCAUUGAGACGAUGAGAUGAGACGACCAUUUGGAGGCAGCGGUUAAUCCAAGGAGGGUUGAUGCGUCUCGUUCAGAGUUUGUCAUUGGCUAGGUCUACUAUAUAGGCUAAGUCUACUAAAUCUAAGCACGCAGUUACAGGGAGCAAACAAAAGCGCGACCAAGUUGUUUGCAUGGUCUUUCUUCCUCAUUAACUUCCUGUUCAGGUUCUGGCUGCCUACAGAGUUGUAGCCUAGCGCUACAUUGAUCUGUCUUGUACUGUAGAGCCCUGUCACGUUUGGUGUCUAGGGAAACUAGUACAAAGGUGGGAAGGUAUCCUAACCCUACGAUGACAGCUAACCUGGUGUUAAGGGACAACCAGAUGUAGAUUAUGGGUUGAAUUGGGGUUUCUCUUGAGAUCUGCGAGAUGUUCCUAGGAUCUACUUGGAGCGUAUGCUUGCUGAGAAACACUGGCAUUUCAACCUCAGUUGCAAGUUGAUCAGGGUUUAGAUAGUAGGGGGCAACGACCAUGGCAAGACUGUCUAAUGAUGAUAUUUCUGGCAACAUGUCUGACAUGAGCAUAUUCAACAGCAAUGUGCGAGCAUAGCCGACCUGGACCAUCGACAGCAAGGAAUUUAUAAUAUGCAGCGUCUUUUUCAGGACUUUACUAUGGGUAUUGACUGCAAGGACAGUGCCCUUGACUGUUUGACCAAUAGUCUGCAGUUGUGUCAGCUGUCUGUUAAUCUGAGCCCAGCUGUUCAGUUGAGCCGUUACCGGAACAUUUUUACAGUAGGCUUUCUUAGAGUUUAGCCUGACAAGCAACGUCUGCGUGUGCCGGUGACAGUUAGUUAUCAUUAGUUCGGGUUGUUUCCUCAGAACAAUCCCAUAGUCCAGUCCUGGUUCUACAGUCUCGGGUUUAGCUGGGGCAGCUACUACGCCAAGGCUCAGGAGCAUUACUAGCCAAAUCAUCCUAGAGGUGAGUACGGACAUUAUUAGAAUGAUAUGGUUGCAAAAGGAUCUAAAAUUUCAAAUGAUCACUACCACUUUCUCAACUCCCCCUCCCUUCGUGACUCAACCUGUGCCCGAGGGCAUGGUCAGUGUCAAAGUUAGAACCAAUGCAAACGCACAGAUAUAGCAAAAAUGUAAGUAGAACGAUAGUAUCAGAGAACUGGUGGGCCUGACGUUAGUCAGGAAAGCUCGGAGCUGUCCUACUUUAUUACUCAAAGGUGGCGCUAGAGGCCCCGACAAGUCCCAUGGGGUUCUGGUGAAGUUUGCUUUGGUUGUGGUGGACCCAUUUGAGGGUCAGCUCCCUGUUUUUUCUGUGCUCUGUGCACGGAGAGUCAUGGGCGUAUGCUAACCUUACCCCCCUGUGGCUGCGAGGCGCCACCAAGGCAGGUGAAGUGAGUGCAUCAGAGGCAAAGACAAGGAAGUCAUUGACGAGCCGAAGCAAAGGACGCACAUGGAAAAGAUGGGAGUCGUUAGGAAUGGGGCGAAAGAGGUCAGGAGACAUGAGUGAGGUCGAAGGCUUAGAGGGAAAGGAAGUUUUGGCAGCGACGGCUGGAUUUGAGACCUAGAGGGGCAGCAAAUCAGGUCUUGAGAAGGCCAGAGGCGCAGAUCGGGUGUCGACGAUAGCACAGACCACAGGGGUGGGUUGGGUGGGAAAGACAGUGGGGUCAGGGUGCCACGGUGUGCCAGUUAAGGCUCUUUGUUUGUCCCAGGAGCUAUCAAAUUCACACCAAAAGGGGUCUUUUUGCAUGACUGAGUCACUGAGAGGCCACAAGCAAGGCUGCGGUCCGUCGUCAGGCAGGCCUGUCUGGGCUGGGGGACCCACACUUGCUGGUGUGCUUUGUUAGGGUUCCUGUGUUAGGAUGUAGCACUGAGCCUGACUUAUGGUAGUUGUUUGGAUCGGUAGGGGUCUGUGGAUUUGUGCCCAUAAUGCUCGAAGUUUGUAGUCGAUUAAGGGUUCGAACCAAUUUAGGAGGUCAUGGCUAAUGAGGAAUGGAAUCGACUCGAUGGGUGACACAUACACAGGGUGCAUGAUUUUCAUCGGUCCAAUGGCGAUGCUUAACAUUGUCAUUGUUGUCAAGGUCGUACUGUCCUUGGAGUAAGGUUAGAUCUUCAUGGCGUGAGGCUGCAGAUUAAGAUCUCUGUUGGAUCGCUGCACCAUGUUGUGCUAGUGAUUGAAAAGCGUCCUUGACAUCAGAGUGAUGUCAGCAGCAGUGUCUAGGAGCGCUUCAUGUUGAAGUUCAUUUUCAAGAAUGGUGUUCAGGUAAAAUUUCUGUGUGGCUCCCUUCUUUGUGAGGUUGCCCAGGAAUUGGAGGAAGGGUGGUUCAAGAUCGUUAGUGGUGUCAAUAGGUGGAGGAGUCACAGACUCCUGAGGCCUGUACUACGAAGCUGGAUUUGGUCUUAGCGAGAUAACUUCUGGAUAACUUCUGGGUUUUCUGUACUACGAAGGUGGAUCUCUUUUUAUCCGGGUCCGUUGCCCCGGUAACUUACGCGGAACGCCAAACCUGCUCCGGAGCAGGUUAUGUUUCAGGAUAAGAUCUCAGCAGGUAUAAAAAACCGCCCGAUGACCAAUCGGAUCUCUUGGAAAAUGGCUUGCCCACUUUUGCCGGAUCCCGGGGACAUCGUUGCACGGAUAGUGAGAGGAGCGCUCCGCCGAGAGCGUUAUAUUCAUGAUUGUUCAAAUCCGUUUGAUUUACCUGAUGACGUUCUCUAUGAACGUUACAGGUUUUCCUCGGACGGCCUCAAUAUUCAAGUAGCAAGAAGUCUAAGCAAUACACUAAUAUUUGCCAAGCUCCAGGUUCAAAUUUGUUAGUCAUCUUUCAGAAUUCAUUGAAGCAGAUAAGAAAACUCUUAACCCCAAAUGUGUCUGCAGAUGACGUGACCAUCAGAUGAUGGAGAAAAAAAAAAGGCAGUGUGAGGAAAUCACUGUUUACGCGUUGAAAUAUGUACAAAUAAAAUCUUCCAAUAAACUUACAAACUACUUUAAAGGAUGUUUUUAGAUUUAUUUUUAUUUGCUCCCACGUACUCUUUUCCCCACUGCUGUUGUAUCUGAAAUAAUGAGGUCAGUGAUGGUGGUGAUCACACACGCUGCAUGACAAUAUAUUAGGGGGCCAUAAAUUUUUGAACGCACAAAUGUAAUUUACACAACCGGUGAUUUUUUUUGCCGGCAGUCCCUCCGGCUUUUAGCGGCUGUGUCUGUCUCACUGUUUAAAUAAAGCUCUGUUCUUCAGCUGUGAAAAAUGACGUGCAGCCUUCUCCAUUGUGGAGAUUGGUCCGGUGGCACUGACCCGACCCCCUUUACGUGUGCGCGCACAGAUCUGAACUGGAUUCAGUUAUCGAGUUGAUAUCCUGCUUCGUAGUACAGCUGAUCGGGAUCGCGGAGAUCCGGUGAAGUUGAGCGAGUUGUCACAGAGUUAUCCUGGAUUUGUUAAUCCAGCUUCGUAGUACAGGCCUCUGAAAGGUCAUGCACACUUCCUCGUCUUUUGGAGCUUGGUGAGCAGACACUGCGCUUGGCUCAGGAGGAACUUGUUCAACAGAGAAGACAGAGAAAAGAUCUGCUUUCUCGGGUUCUUCUCCCUGUAUCCUGCUGAGUAUCUCUUGAAUAAGCUUGAGGUCCUCAUUUGUCAAAUGAGGGGAUUUUGGUUCGCCUUUAUCCCAGUCAUACUUCGGUGGAGGGUCUGAUUUGUUCUGUGUACCCAUCUCUUCAUCGGGGGGUACCGAUUGGGACAGGUCAUGAGGUUGCUGUGAGUCACGUCUCCAGCGUGACUAGUUACGAUCAGGCCUGUCUCUCACCACCCUGUUGUUAGGUUGGUGGGUCACAUCCUUUUCAGGGUAAGUCCCACUCCUGCAGGAGUGUGAGGGAAAGUGGCCCGUGUCAAAUCUGGCAUGUUGUUGACCUCUGUCAGACCAAGAUUGUUUAUGGCCUCAACUUUUAUAAGCUGACUGAUAUCGGGAUGCCUUUAGAUUCUGGGUUGGUCGGUCAGUUGCGUACUUAGGUGUGUCUGAGUACGUGUCAACUGCACCACCUUCCAGUUCUAGUGGCAUUGACUUUGUGUCCAUAGCCAACACAGUACUGGGUUCGGGUCUCUUGGACAUGGUUUGUCUUUGUUUUGCGAAACCUCUCACAGCCAGCUCGCGGAGCUGUCUGCUGUCUAAGGUUCGAGGACAAGCUGCAACACCAAGGUGAUGACUUGUGGUGGGAUGGAGGUUUUGAACAAACAAGGUUUUAAAGUUCAUGUCCUUCUACGUUUCAGGUUCAUUUAGACUACCAAAGUAAGCCUGGCGCAGGCUACUGUAGUAUGACUAGGGAGAUUCCUGUCUCUCCUGUUUGACUAACAGUGCAGCGGCUAAACCAGUUGGUGUAAGGGAGUCAGAGAACUCGUCAACUAAUGCCUGGCACAGCAGGUCAUAGUCGUUCUUGACCCGACGGGGUUGUCAUUCAAUGAAGCUGCUAACCUCUCGAUUGGAGGUAGCUUUGAUUAAGUAGAUUUUGUCAUCCACAAGAGCACCUGGAAACUUCCUCAAGUAGAAGUCGAUGUCUUUCGAGUAGGUGAUUGGGUCUUCUGAACCUUUACGACCGGGUUCAAAUCGUGUGAUGUUACGAGCCAUUUUGUCAAGAUCCCUGUCUGUGGGAUAUGCUGCUUGACGAGCAGCAGGCGUGGACUGAGGUUCGUAGCUCAGAGAUAGCCCUGUGGGGCCGAGGGAGUAUUCUGGCCCUUGUGAAUAAUACCCAGAUGGUGUUGGUUGGGAGAGGGGCGACAAAGUAUGACCAGGGCUCUGUCCGGUGGAACCAGGACUUGAUUGACCCGAAUGUCCUUUGGAGACACGACUUGGUCGAAAAGUGGGGUAUUGGAGCGCCUGUUGAUCACUUGGUGAGCUUCGCCCGCUCUGAUCUUGCUGGGGUUGACCCAGACUAAGUUUCUUCUGAGCCUCUAGGAGUAGUUGCUUUAGAUUAGCAGAAUGUCUCUCUUCGGCUUCGAGGGCCACCCUUUGGCCUUCAAACCGGGCCUUCCAGUUCCUUGCAUCAGUUGAGGACUGAUCUAGGCUGCUUUUCACUCUUGACAGCUCCUGUAAUUGCUCAAGAACUGUUGACUUAGCAUCCGAAAGCUGAGCUUCCUUUUUCUCAAUGGUGUCAUGCAAGUCUGAGAUUUUGAUUACUAAGGAAGGGUCUUGAUCAGGUGGGGAAGGAGGCUCUGUUUGCAUCUCAUCCAAACGGUCUCGAGUCUGCUGUAGAGCCCUUUCAGUGCAUCCCAGCUCCCCUUUGAGAUCAUCAAUUUCCUUCAGUGCUUUGGCCCUCUCCAUGGCUCCGUCCUGUCUCUUGAUUUGGACAGACAUCACACUAGCCAAGCGUGCUAAAGCUCUGGGGAUGUCUCUUUCUUUAGAUGGGUUCAGGGCAACCCAAUAGAUCACCUCAGCCAGUGCAUUUUCAAGCCCGCUGGCAUCAGUGCGAUUCAUUUCGUCUACAUAGCCUGGUAGCAGCGGCUGAGUCAAAAUUGUCAGCGUAUGCUUUAGCUCCUCACUGAAUCAUUGCCAACCUGCCUCCUGACGUUCUGCCAUGUUGAUUCAAGUUUAGUAAAGUUGGUAGGUUAGUGAGUUGAUCAAAAAUAGCAGUGCUUAUAAAACAAUUUGAGAAAAGUUCUGAAUUUGGGACCAGAAGAUAAGCGCUUAUAGCAAAGUCUGGUUCACCAUAAAAUAGCUGGAUGUUUAUUUGCUGGAUGAGGUAAACAAAGGAAGCUAAAAUAGAAUUUGGAUUUAACUGAAAAAGGAAUUAAGUGCAAAAAUCAAACCUAAUCAAAGCCAGAUCUCAAAGAUCAAACAGGAUUUGGUCAGAUACAAUUUACAUAAAGGAAUACAGGGAAACCUUUAGAGUAAAUAGCGGAUUGUCAGUUAAGUGUGGAAGGAGGGUAAAGGCUGAAGGUAAUCAGGAUCAACAAUGCAGUUGUAGAUGCACUUAAAUCUUUCAAUGUCUUCACAAGGUAAUCAAAGUAAAACUGUCCAAAUUCAAUUGACCUAAAAGGGAUAAUAAAAAAAUAAUUCUGAUUGUAGAUUAGUUUGGGAAUUAUUGAAUGAAUUGAUUAAUGUUACAUUAAUUAAUUAAUUAUUGCCCUAAGUCUGUGAUCAUCUGUAAGUGUUUUCUAAAGGGUCAAAGAAAGAUGGAGGCAAGGAACAAUGAUUACAGGAUGACAAAGAUUUGAUUCAGCUGUUCUAAUUAAUAAGGCAGGCGAUCUAUCUGUGUAAAGUAAAAAUAAAAGUUGUCUAUCAAGUAACUCAACGUUUUAUUUAUGAUACAGAAAAUGAAACUCAAUCAACCAACUCAAUCUGACUAUGUCUGCAUGGCAUCUGUUUGACAACAGGGAGGCGUGGCAGUCGGCUGUCACUGCAGUCUGUUUACAAUGACGUCCGAGUGAAACAAAGGCCAAGUGGCUGUGAGCUGGCUUGCCGUGCUCGCUUGCCGUUCACCACACGAGGGCGGUGUUCUAGGGGGCGGUUCAACCGCUCAGUAUGUUGUGACGCAACGUCAGGACGUAGCUAUUGGGCUCCAGCCCUCGGGGUGGCGUGCCUGUUCACACACCGAUCGACUAGUCUCUCUAACAGACACAAAAGGGUUAAUACCUCACUGCGGCUGCGCAGCAGUGGCAAAGAAAAAGCUCACGCUGCCUCUCUAAUAGCGGAUUGAUUCAACUACCCUCCUCUCGGGAGUAUCAAGAGUUACACAGACAGAUCUUACAACAGCAGACAAAACUGCGGACUUGAAUUCACGAAAUGCAGCGAUUUGUGAAAAAGAAUUAUGUCUGAAAUCACUCUAACAAACCUCUCACUGGAGACAGUGAUCUCCCGCGACAGGUAGCUUAUCUGCCCGGGGAAUGAGGAAUAACUGAAUCCCUUACAGUCACUAGAACGUCGUAGUAGACUAUAGGAAGUUCAGAGACUCAGAACCACGGCUCGGAGCUUCGCGAACACCGGGUCCGGCCCAAGGCCUUAAUACAAGUGUACGGCGACGCUGAAAUCGUGCACUAAAAGUUAAUAGUCUGGAUACGCGCAUCGGCAGCGCUCACAGCAAAAGACGCAGCCUCGCUGCAAUCAAAACAAUGAUCCAUGUGGUCUCACACACAAACGUCUGCAGCAGCAAAAACUGCGCUUUAACAAAGGCUCAUAUCAUCAGAACAUGAACCAGAAACACAUCAAACGCCUUGUUCAGCAAUUUCAAAAAUGCAUCAGAAACACAUCAAGCAUUCAAUCCAGUAAUUUCAGCAAGCAUAGCAUAGAUUUUGAAGAGUCUCAAUUGGGAAAGCUGGGUUUCUCACUAGUUUGGGAAGAUAAUCUUAAGGUAGUCUGUUAGUGUUUCCAGAAUUCGGUUUAAAAUCCCUCACACGGGGCACCAAAUAAUAUGUAGCGAUUUUGAACUCAAAAUAAAUGUCCUAAAAUAAUAGAAUUAAAUUAUGACAUUUAUGCACUCGUUGAAGGGGCACCACCCACCUUUCUGGUGGGAAAAAGACAAACAAAGCUCAAUUGAAUUAUCAAACAUUGACUCAGUCUUCAACAGAUUUAAAUCAAUCUCACAUCUGAGGCUGGAAUUCUCAUUUCAGGGACCUCACUUCUGGAUAUUGACCACUAAGAGACGACAACUUAAAAUUAAAUGGACAAUUUAUUGACAAAUGCUUGGUGAUAACAUAAAUUCAAUAAAUCGCGAUCAAAUAAUGAGAAAUUAAGAGAACAUCUAGUGAAUAAAUGAAGGAAUGGUUUGAACUGAAACUAAGACCGGAAGUUAAUAAUAGUGAGUGAAUAAAGAAAAAUUUUAACCUACGUUAACAGAGUUACGAGGAUAAAUUUGGAAGAGGAAUUUAGAGAAACUAAAACUAUAAUUAAAAUUAUAAGCUCUGAACGCUUGACAGCAUCACCGGUUCUUCCAGGUGUGUUUGCCUACUUAUUGAUGAUGGUUCUCAAUCUUGGAGCGGAUCACUGAAGGCCCAGGCUACGGAUGGUCUGGGCAGGGCGGCUAGCAGCCGGCCGAACGGUGUCUCUGUCAUCACAAAUGCACGCCAAAUGCGCCCCUUGGGUCCCACAGCGCUCUCCUUCCGGAAUCUUAUGGCAAACGCAGCUCAGCAGAUGAUGCAGUCGGUCCUCCGGGCGUUCAGGAUUAGCUUUACUGCAGAUCAAUUCGCGAUAAUAACUUAAGAAAACAAUUUUGCUGGCCAGUCGAUAUCAUUCUCAGGAGUCACUUUAGCGAACUAAACAAAAUAAAAGACUAAGACUUAGGUACUCUAUGCGCGCAGCUGACUAAUAAUGUUUUAAAGGAACUUGGGUAUGGUUUCAUCCAAGUUCUAGAAAAGUCUGAACUUAAGGCGAAUAGACAAAAAAACUGGAAAAGUUACAAGACGAUGGACGGAGGCAAAAAAACGGGAAAAGUUACAAGACUUGUUAACUGACAAAGUACAAAAACACAAAUGCAGUAAAAUUAAACAAACAUGCAUGUAUAGUCAUAUAUCCAUGCUCUAACAUCUAAACGUGCUCAAAUCCCAGAUCCAUUUGGGGAAAAAAUUGCAGGUUUGGAGCUUUGCAGUAAAGCAAAAUGAGAGAUGAGAAACUAUUGUGACAUGCAUAUGGAGCCAAGACGUGUUCAAUGAAAGACAUUUUCUGAUGGUUCUGAAACUGAUUCAAUUCGCUUCCUCUUAGAAAGCUCCAGAGCUAAACAGUUUCUUUAAUCUUUCAAAUUAGAGAGGAAAUUGUUGAAUUCAGUUUAAAAUGUAUCGUUCAAGCUGAAAAUCAGCUUUCAUGCAUAAUAUAAGAUGAAAACUGCUCAUCACUUAUUCCAAAAAGGAGCCUAAAAAAACUCUUGCUAGACACACUACAUACACGGCUGUGUUGUCUGGUCUGUGUUCUGCCUCCUGACCAGCAGAUGGCGGCAGAGCACUGUGUCCUCCCGCCGCCCGGGUUCAUUGGGUGCAUUAUGACAUGACUCCCUCCAUCAGUUCUGUCCACUCCUGCUCCUCACAAUAACACUAUAUGGUGGCUUAAAACUACCAAAGUAGAUUAGCUAUGUGUGUGUGUGUGUGUGUGUGUGUGUGUGUGUGUGUGUGUGUGUGUGUAUGUGUGCAGCAGUAAUUAGGAAUUUAUCUUAUCAUUUGAAAGAAAAUUUCAGUUUCCCAUGGGUGUAUUAAUUGUGUGUACAUGUAAUUCGGCUACUUUUCCAGCGUAAAUGGACUUUCUUUCUGUCUGUACUGCGAGUAAUUACAUGUGUAUAUGACCAGCCUGAGACAUCGCUGAGCUGAAGCGCUGUGACGUGAAAUGUAAUUUGGAGAAAAAGCUACCUGAAUCACCUUUAUUCCCCUUCGAGCCUCCUGGAAUAAUUAUCAUCCUUAACUUAAAGCAGUGUGCUUAAUUCAGCCUCACACCUACGCCUCCCCUCUCCUCCCACUGCUGUAAUUUCCUCAGACCUCAGUGGGACCUGCUUCACUGUGGCAACGUUUUCAUGUUGUGGCUACUUCUGCUUCAAGCAUAAAAUUAGUAAGUCCAAUAAUUUAGGUUGAUUUAAGAAUGCAGGGGGAGACAGCAGGGUCACAUGCCCAUAGAUGAUCAAUACUAAUUACCAUUUCAUCUCUCCCCCCUCCUCCUUUUCUUCAGGAAACACAUGCAAAACUGAUCUCAUUGGACUGAUUAAAGGUUGCAAAUGAAGGGUCCUCACUCCCUGAUUCUCAUCAAAGGCCAGCCGCACACUCGCUAACUUUGUCUUCAUUUAAUUCUACAUUGUCUUCAGAUGGAGCCCCAAUUAUAAGCUUGCAGUGAAUCUCCAAAAUAGCAUGCACACAUUGACCUUUUUAGAUUAAAAGCACAUUCUCUUUUUCUCUCACACACACAUUCGUAAAGUCCAAUUUUCUCCACUAAUGAACCUCAGUGGUCAGGGUUUCUAGUCGCUGUAAUACCUGGUGAAGAACUCCAGUCGGCCUGUAAGUUAAUCUUUGUACCUUUUUGUUUCUAUCAGCAGGUCAAAUUUUACUAAUAUGAGUGAAAGUUGUUUGGUCAAAUUUUUACUUCAGUUAAAGUACUAGAGUAUCUGCUUUUGAAAAUACUUCAGUAUUAUGUUAACACAUUCUUGUAUUGUUGCGACAACAAAUUUACAGAACCUAAUGACUUAAACAACCUACUGAAUGCAUUGACCUGCUUAAACCCGCAGAAUAAAAAGCUUGUAGAUUUUGCUAUGAAGCCUUUAAAAAUGCUUAAAAAAAUGUUGAACUAAAAUGAAAUGUAAUCAACAAAAGGACAACCAUUGUGUUUACAUUUUUUUAUAAUUUAAUACCUGACACACUUUCAAAGGUUGGACAGUAAGUUUUUGUCGGCAGCAAUAAAGUUUGUGCGUGGUAAACAGAGCAAACAUUUCAAAUGAUAUAAAGCAUUCUUCAUUUCAACAAUCUUAGACAUGGACCUCUGAUAUGGCCAUGGCUGCUCUUGUGUGGAACCCUCAUCUGUAUCUGCCAUAGCUAUCAUUACCACUGCCAAGACGAACCGUAACUGUUAUAUGAGCAACGUAAGCUCAACGUUUACCUGUCCAAUCAGCGCAGAGCAUGCACGAGGUACAGAUAUGACAUCACCACUUGAACAAAUCACUCCCAGACCGCGUUUUAGAAGAGAAAUUCCAUCUGCUGACUUAAAAGCUAAACUUAAAAGUAACAAGUAACAAGACCCUUCAUAGAGAUGAAGUGGAGUCAAAAGUAUAAUAUAUGUCUUUCAAAUGUAGUGGAGUAAAGGUAAAAAAAAAAAGAAGAUAAUACUCAAAGUACAGAUACUCAAAUAAUGUACUUGUACUACAGUUCUCAAGUAAAUCUACUUGGGUACUGUCCACCCCUGGACAUAACUACCUAAAAGUUACUAGUAGUUUGUGUGACUACAGUCCGAAAACUCCAGUCUGGCAAUCUUGAAAGGCAUCAUCUUGUUUUUUGGAGCUACAUGUGACCAAACUUUGCCAAAUAAGUGAUCACACAUCCCAGUGUGUCUGUCCUGCAUUAUUCCUCACUGUGGAGGUGAUGCAGCCUUUAUGCCAUUCUAUUUAUCUGCAAAUGUCACCAUAAUUUAUAAACUCAACAUCAUGCUGUAUUAGAUACCUGAAACUUGAGCAUGAGACAGGGGCAGGUCUGGACCUUUCAGACUGGGGUGGCAUUAACUUCUGCAGGGGUGACCUGAAGUAUUUAUGAACACAUGAACAAAUAGCAUUCAUUUAUUCGUUCUUUCUUCAGCUAGUUCACCCACUCUGACUACACGCAUUUAAGUAAUUUAUGUAGAGAGUAACACAGCUAAGAGGCAACAUAUAAACCUUGAAAGCUUUAAUUUGUCAAGGGCUUUUUAUCAAUUAGAAAACCAAUAGUAGCCAAUAAGCCUCAGAGAAAUACAAAGAAAACUAUCCAAAUGAUGGACUUCUGCAAAAGUCCAGCCUUCAAAGGCUUGGAUAAGAUUAAACCUUUUUGUCCAACCUUUAGUUUUCAUCUUACCUAUGUCGGUAAAAUGUGUGUAGUUAAUGGGCCACAUUAUGAAGACACAGAAAAAAACUUCAUAAAACAGUCUGGCAUUAAGAAUGGUCUUGAUCUCUGCAGGAUGCAAGCUGAGCUGUUACUUAAUUUAGCUCAAAACUUAAACAGAGUCCUUCAUCACAUUUAAGUGUCAGAAACAUGAUUUAAAACAGAAACUAGUUCACUAAAAUGUUCUAUCCCGUUAGCUCUGGUAAGCUUUGAUCCUACAGGUAAAAUUUGAGACUUAGUUCUUCAUCAUGAUGCUGAACUAAGAGGGCUGCAAGCUGAGCUGCCACUAACAAUAGCUAACAAUCUUACCAGAGUCCUAGGAUGUUUUGUGGUGUAAAACUGAUUUAUAUUGAUCCUACUGGAAGAAUAUGAGACUUCUAGAUAGAAACUACAGUUAAUCAUCAUUAUAAUACUGAAAGUAGGAAGCUAUGAGCUGAGCUGCCACUUCACAAUCUAACCUAAAUCAUUCAUCACAUUAGAGUUGAAGCAGUCAGAAAUAAGUUCCCUGGAAUGUUAGAAGUUUAUGAAGUUGCCAAGUAAAUACAGAACAUCUAAAAACAGUUGACGCCAUAGUCUGAGCAAAGAAAAUCUAAUUGACUAAAUGUUCUUAGUUGGAUUUACUUCCAGAUCACUCUAAAGGUAAGGUGAUAACAGCAGCAAUGACAGCCAAUAAAUCCCGGCUGUCUGAGAUUGAAAAAGCAAUAUAUUAAUUUUUUAGAGAUGAAUCACACAUGUCAGAAUGAAUAUUUAUGAAUAAAUAAAUCCAUGCAGAAAUAAAUGAGCACAUAAUACAUUGCAGAAGAGAUGAAACAGCACAGAACAGCAGAAGUUAUGGAUUUCAGAUACGAGUCGACUUCAGUCCCUGAAGGCUGCACAGAGAACGUACACUCUGCAAACAAACCAGAGUGAAUCACAGGACCCGUUUCCAGACAUCGGAUAAGGGAUUUGAUCCACCUCACACACACAGAAGAAGCUCGGGCUUAAAACAAACGCAUCAAGUCGCACUCCAAUUUAGGCUUCCCACAAUUCAAUGCAGACGAGUGUGCAAAAUACUCCUGUGAGGAUCUUCUUUUGACAAUUAAGACACCCAUGGAGGCGUGGAAAGCUCUGGAUUCCAUUAGCCCCUGUGCUGUUCCCCUCUCUCUGUCCACUGAGCCUUUACUUACUUAUUAGUACAAGUCCCUUCACAUUUUGUGCGGGAAGCGAUUAGCGAAAUCUACAUGAAUAGGCAAUUUCUUUUCACUCCCCUCGUCCUCCCUCACACUUCACUGCCAUCAGACAGAUCUACAGAGUGGCAUCAGUGCACUAAUGAAAUCCGCUCUGCAUCAUUUGGGGUGUUCUUCUUCCGCUGAAAGUAACUUGUGUCUUUCUUUACUCGUUUCUGUGUGACAAACGGUCAGAGUUGGCUGAAAUUAUAUCUACACUACCCCCCACCCCCAUUUAACCAUAAAGGCUGGAAGCAGUGGGCUCAGACUGCAGCUCGGCUUUGAUGUAUUGGAGUUAAUAUCUUCCUGACAUUUCUCAGGACAGAUUUUCAUCACUGGAUUCAUCUGUACUUUUGGGGCUGUGUGAUGAAUGAGUCCGGACAUUCAUUUUCCUCCUCGUUCUUUCCUCUCUCGCUUCUUCACGGACAAGAUGGGUGUGUGUGUGUAAAUAUGUAUCUACUGUUGAGGUGUAGGGGUGUGAAUCUUUUUAUGAAGCAGUCUCUGCGUGUGUGUGUGUGUGUGUGUGUGUGUGUGUGUGUGUGUGUGUGUGUGUGUGUGUGUGUGUGUGUGUGUGUGUUAGCCUGGUGAGCCUGAGCAAGCAGCGAGUGUACUUGUGACACGAAAUAGACGGCGGCUUUAAUGGAAGUGACAUUAAUUUGACAGAGCGCUCACUAACAUGCGAAGUCACUCGCAGUUCACAAUAAUAAUAUUAACUUGGCAUUAACAUGCAAGGCUGUCUGUUGCACCAGAUGCUGAGACAGUUUUUUCUUUUUUUCAGAGAGCGGGUGCUGCUGCAGUCUGUCUUUGUGGGCCAAGAGUGAAGCUCAGAUACUCUCACUCCUGAGUACUUAGUGCUGUGUAAAAGGUGGACACACUUUCACAGUUCGUUCCUUGAUGUUUUCCUUAAAUCUGCAGUUUCUUAAAGGUUUAUCAAAGAGAUCUUACGCCUCCCCAUCGAAAAUUACUGAGACUAAUUCAGGGAUAGGCUAAUGGCAUAACAGAAAAUAUGUAAAUGAUAAAACUGAGCAACUGCAUUCAGGGUAGAAAAUCAGGAUUGAAAGCAUAAAACCCAAGUACAUGUUCUGAGGAAGGCUUUAAUUCAGAAGAAGUUUUAGGCUAGAAUCAACCCUCAAUGUGUGAAGGUGCAGUGUGUAGAAACUGGAUUACUUAGUAAUGUCUCGUGGUCAGAUUCUGGAUUGAAAAGCCCCCUACCCCUUACUCAGUGAAGACAUGAUGGCCUUUGGAUGGAAGAAGCUCCUGCGAUACAUGACAAUCAAGAUUUGACCAUCAAAAACAUCAAUCAGUACAAACUCUCUGGGCAGAACAGCCUCCUUCCUCUUCAUCUUUGUCUCCCAACCAGCGAAUUUAAAUGCAUCCAGC